rnacentral:lncRNA from 1 species
ACAGGGGAUGCUUGCAGAAUCAGUACCGAAGUCAGAAAUAGAUGGCCAGCAACGUGCAGGCGGAGUAGGAGAUGAUCAUUCAUUAGCCACGGUCUGCAUGGAGGAGAUUAUUCCUAGAAAUGAAAAUUUCCUUUGCUGUAAUCAAGAUGACUUCUGACAAGAUGGAGGAGCAGAAAAGCUGAUGAGUAGUCUUGAAGAAUUUGUGCAAUGGUCAAGUAUCCUCCUGUAGGUGGGUGAAGCACAGGCCAGAAGUCAGAAGCAACCCCGAAGACUUCCGGCUUUUCUUUUAAGAGCCUCAGAAAAGAGAUUAACUGGAGAAAGGCUUUAUCUCUGAUCCAGAUGUGAUACCGACUGAAGGGCUGGGAAGAAUGGUCUGUGCAUCUCUAGGAAGGUAUUUCUUUUUCUCUUCUUUGUAAAAACAU